UGCCUGCGGGGAGAGACACAGAGCGGGUUACCAAGCGGCGUCGCCGGCCGGCCCGCGCCCCUCGGACUGCAGGGCCACAGGCGGCCGCCGGCCGCGGCGCCACCCCGGGGCCCAGGCCGCUCCGGCGAGUCCCCAGCCCGGGGCGCGGCCGCGCGUGCCCCGUAGGUCGCUGAGCGCGGCCGGGUCCCCGUGGGCCAAUGGGGGAGCGCGGGCGGGCCCCGCCCCCCGCUACCCUACCCACUCCCGAGGCGCGCGCGGGAUUGGCUUCCCCAGAGCGUCCACGCCCACCCGCGAGCACCCAGCGGCGGGCUCCCCGAGGGGGUUGGGAGUCUGCCUUCACCCAGCAGCUGUGAUGCUGGGCACCGCGCCUCAGCGAGGUCGCAGGUCGCGGGGACCACAUAGUACGGGAUGCUAGAGAAGGACCUGCGUAGAAGAGAGGCAGGUGCUUGCAACAUCCUCGAAGGCGACUUUUUUUUUUUUUUUUAACUGUUUUUUGCGGGGGGGAGGGGGCAGAUUUAGAGACGCUAAGAAAAAUACUUUCAACGCAGUAACUACUAAAAGAGCAUUUAGGCCUCCUACUGUGACAGGAGGAAUUCCACUUUUAAAAACUCAAGUUAGCUGUCAGUUUACACAGGGCUACUUUAUUUUACUGAAGCUGCUUUUAUGGCUUUGAUUUAAUAUUAAUGUAUACUGCUUUUUCAAAUCAAGUCUACCUUUAGUGUGAGACAGGCAACGCUGGUAACAAAGAUAAAGGCAUGAGGAUAGAUGAAGAAACACAUUAGCCUGUGUUUGAUUACUUAUGCUAGCUUUUAUCAUUUCACCAGUAGCUUCAUAACUGAAUUUUUAAAGUUCAGAAAUAAAAAUAAUUACAAAGACUCUUAUGUAGGUAUAAUGAACAAAUAGCCAGCCUUGAAACAGUUGUAAUAUCUUCCUAUGUCACUCAAUUAUGCAGAGAUAUUGCUUAGAAGUCUCUGAAUUCAGGGCCUCUGUCUGAUACUUUAACACUGUUAAUGGUAAUUCUCUAGUCUGUAAUAGUAGGUCAUUGCUAUGGUUACUCUACAAUGGUGCAACACUUUGCUUUCCCCUUCAGCUAUUCGCUGAGACCUGGUAACCACAUUUGUUGCCUAGCAACAGUUUUGUGACAGUAUCACAAUCUGGGAGUUACAACAAUAAGGAUGCUACGGCUGCGGUCGGUGGGCCAGAGAGCAGAAAGCUACAGUCUGUGCAUGUGACUCAUCGGUGGGCGAUGGCCCUACCAGAGGUCCCCACCCCUCAGAGGUGCCGCAUCCUCCUCUCCUCUGGCCUCAGGAGUAUGCACUUGGAACUCAGAUCCAGUACUGAAGUCACACCCUGGAGAAACACCCCCAAUACUACUGUACUCAGGUUAAAAAGAAGGCCACUUCUCUAUUUGCUUAUUUCAGGCGAAAUUCGAAUUAUUUGAAGGAAGGGAAGGGUGUAUGUAGGUUUACCUUGGUAGAGCUAAAAUGCCUGUUUUCCCACAAUUUAUGGUAGAAUUCUGGACAAGAAUUCGAUCAAUCAAUCACUCUAUAUAUCUCCAUCAAUGGAUUAUAUACAGUUUCAAAUUAAGACAUCCACAUAGGACAUCCAGAUAUUAUUAUUGAUUUAUUGAAAUGAUAGUCAAGGGAUUCUACUGAAUUUAGAAGGAUUUUACAUUCCUCAAAUAUAAGUGAAAAGUUCUAAAUACCCGCAGACCUACGCUUUAAAUAAAAUUCUGUAAUAUAUCUAGAAGAAAGCUCAGUUGCUGAGAUUUAUGAAAUAUAUCUGUCUGUUUUCCUGUAGUGUUUCCAGCCCUGGUUUUAGUUCAAUGACAACUAUUACACUGCACUUAUGAUAUACUAUUUUGAAAAGUCAAUUGUAUUUCUUUCUUUGAAAGGGCAUUUUCUAAGAACACCCACCUCCAAAAUCAGUCAGCCAAAAAGUGUUAAUUGUCUCUUUUCCUCCCCAUUUCUCAAGAUGCCAGCCCCACUUAGCAUUUCCUCCACAGUGGUCACACUUACACCUACGAGUGUUACUAAGGCUAUGAUCAAUUUGUAAGCUUUCUCAGGGAAAUCCUCUUGUAGUUCCUGCUACCCCCUGAAAACCAAUUCAAUCUAUGAAUCUAGAGGGACUUAAGAAGCCAAUGGUCUAAAGCAAUUUUGAUUCCUUUAUUUUUUCUUUCCUGGUGAUAGUCUUUCUGUAAGAUGAACAAAUUUCCCUGGUGAUGAAAUUACUACAAAAGCUUUUUAGUUUUAGCUUAUGAUGACUCUCUGCUUGAUUAGUCCUGGGCUGAAAAGAUCAGAAUCCCAGAGAUUACCAAGCAGGGUCUACCCUGUGAGAAAAUGCGAAGGACAAACGUCAGCCACCACUAGGCACACCUGUGUGUCCCUGCAUCUGUAGCUGUCAAAUUCACGGUGAUUCUGGGCACAGGACCAAGUAUCUGACUACUUUUAUUAUGCCUUUUCAUGUAGACUUGCCAGAAUACUUUAAAUAUUGAAAUACAUAUUCAUUUUAUUAUGAAUUACUUGUACUCUACCUGUAUAUAUAUAUAUAUUUCCUCCUUUAUAUUAACUACAGUAGUACAGUGACUUAACAAUCUUGCAUGCAGAUUACUUUACUCUGAAAUUUAUUUCAUGAUAGUAAAAGCACUGUUUAAUAUUUGCUUUAGUAGGAAGUAUUUAGAUAUUCAGGGUCAGCCGAAAUAAAGAUGAACGAUUCUGUUUUAUUUCCUUAGAGACUAAUUUGCUCAAUAAUUUGAACCUGUCUCUUUUAUCUUUGUACACAGCAGAGAAUACAUAUCUUAUGUUCCUUAUGUUUGUUCCACAAAUACUGUUUGUCAAUGGUGUUAUUUACUGUGCAAUAGCUGAAAGAAAGGAGAUCUUUUAAUUACUAACUGAAUAUUUGUCCUUGACUAUCUCUUGUUUUAGAAAAUGAACUGUAGCCAAUUUCAAGGCAUUAAAGGGAAUACAAAUGGUCAAAAGGGUUAGAAACCCUAAGUAUGAAGGAUGAGAUUACAAAUCAUAUGAGUAAAAUCAAAUUUCUAAAAAGUAUUUGUUUUCCCCAAAGACUACAUAUUUAAGAAAACUGCCUUGUAAUGGAACUGACAUAGAAGGGUGUUAUAGCUAUACAAUAGCUUUUAGAAAUUAAAGAAAUAGUGGUUGGAAAGGUACUGCUCGUAAAGUGCUUGAAGACCAGAACAGUGUCUCUUACAUAUUGCCCUUUUGACUUCCCGUCAUAACCCCGUCCAGUGUUUCUCACAGGUUAGGUUUGUCCAGACAGUUCUGUAUUGGAUCGCAGUGCUUAGGAGUUUUUUUUUUUUUAAUGGAGGCUGAAGGUACAGUAAAAAUGAUGCCAAAGUAUGCUUUGAAGUUAGCACCCCAAUUCUGAUGUUAACCUUGGCAGACGUGCACUGCUCUGAAGCUGUAUUCUUUUAUGUAAAAGUUGUCUUAAAAGUCAUAUGUUAAUAGACUUUUUGUUUGUUUGGGGGCUGGAGGUUUAACUUAGGGCCUUCUGCAUGUUAGCGCAGGUUCUAUCACUGAGAAGCUCUCCCAGUCCUGGAAGUAGAAUAUUAAUUAAUAUUAAUGUAAAUGAAGAAGGUUAUUUACCUUACUCAGGAGUCCCUUAAUAGAGAGAAGAAUUCUCUAAGAAAGCAAAUGUUCAUUCCUGAGAUGGCACAUGAAAUGUCUGAUGACUAUGGUUAAUGUCACACACACACACACUAGAUUGAUCAGAGAUGAAGUGGGCUGAUAAACAAUAAAUGGUAAACAGGAAGCAGGCUGGCAGGAGGCCUGGGGCAUGACUCCCCACCCAGAGAUAAAGCAGAAGAAUUUCUUGGUUGGUCAUUCACUAUUCCAAUUACUGCUACUCACUUUAUUUUACAUGGUCCCAUACCAAAAGGUCAGGGAAUAAUUUCAACUAUCUAUGCAUACUUUACAUGUUAGGUUCUGUUUAGAAUAGGGAAUAUCACUGUUUACAAAGUCAUCUUUAACAUCUUCUAAAAAAUCUUUACUCCAGGGGGGAAAAAUCCCAGCAUAUACUUGCUUCUCCUCACUGUGUACCCCAUAUCUCCGAAAGAAUGCAUUCCUAAAGCACAAGGUAAUGAAUAACCUAUAUAAGUUCCUAUGAUAAAGGAGGAAAGAAGCUAGAGAGAUAUGAAACACAUUAAUAUUAACAGCAUAACAUGUCUAUGGCACUUUCAAAAUGACAAGGCUUGAUUUUAAAAAUUGAUCUUUAACAAGAAAAAGAAGUAUGGGCAAUUAGGAAGUAAUGAAGACCCUGUCAAUAUAGCUAUGUUGAUAAUAACAGGUAAGGGAAUUCUUGAGAAAAUCUAAUAUAUAAAAAUCAGAAGGUCUGUAAUAUGCAUUAUUGAAUCCCAGUGGGGUUAACUAAUGAAUUUAUGGGCUCACCAGCAGUUAUUUUUAGAAAGUUAUAGAGUAGAGAAAUAUCAGAGCACUGAAAAAUAAUGUGCCUUCUAAAAAAAAUACACAUAUAACUACUGAAUUUUAUUUGAAAGUGAGUUCCAGAAUUUCUAUGGGUACUAUAAUAUUAAGAAAUACAAACUUAACAAUACUUGAACAGAGGAGGGCUCCUGACAGAGCCCCUGUACAUCAGCAGGAGCCACCCCAGAGGUAGUGAAUGGGGGGCGGUGUCCUUGAGUCUGUGAAGGGAGAGCCAGGUAGCACUGCCUGGCCAACCUACCUGGGGCACAGCCAAGCCCGGCCAUCACCGACACAGCUGCAAGCCCCUUACAGCUGCCACAGAGUCACAACCCUAAAGCUACUGAUGUCGCCUCCAAGAGGAGAGAAAGAGAGGCUAAAAUCAAAGCUUGAAAUCAGAGGCGGAAACUUCAGAUCAUCUGCAGCUUCUUGGGAAGCCUGUCUUUGGUUUUGCCACUUUUCUGCCAAGUAUCUGUCAUCUCUGGUGGGAGACAGGCGGGCAGGAAGUGCCACAGUGUAGUUUAGACCCAAAGAGGUAACACUGGGAAGUAAAUUUAUGCAUGAGGUGGAGGGGACAGCUCUUAGUGGCUGGGAGUCUCUCACCCUAAACGCUGUUGCAAACCUUUGACUCUUAAUUCACCUGUUGCCAAUCAAUUAAAAAAAAACAGGAUGCAUUUUUAUUAUUCCAAAUGUCCACUGAAUGCAGAUAGCUAGUGUAGAUGUGCUUUCUCUUCUUGUUUUUAUUUUCGGUAGUGGGAAUGGAACUCAGGACCUCAUGCCUGACCGCCAGGCGCUGUGCUACUGAGCUUUAUGCCAGCCCACUUUCCCUGCUUUUAACUCCUGUUUCACUUUCUGCUUUCAGGGUUGCCACUAGGGACACAUUCUGCUUCCCUCUGAAACUUGAGCCGAAGUGUGGGCAAAAGCCCUCCUUUUCCAGUUCCCUCUAUCAUUUUCUUCUGGAUCUCACUAUGUAUUCCAGGCUGGCCUCCAGCUUGAGCUGAUUGUACUUCCUCAGUCUCUCAAGUACUGGAACAACAGGCAUCUACCACCAUGCCCAGUGGUCCACCCAUGUUGUGUGAAAUAUCCAGUAAGAUUCCAAUGGACUUCUUCACAUGAAAUAGAAAACAUAAUCUUAAAAUUUAUACAGAACCACAAAAUCACUGACUAGCCAAAGACAAUCUGAGGGGAAAAAACCCCUCAAAAAACAAAAACACAAAAACAAUGUUUUAAGCAUUUAAGCAUCAUACUUCCUGAUUUAAAACUGUACUAGGAAGCUACAGUAAUCAAAACAGUAUGGCACUGGCAUGAAAACAGAAGAACAAUAAAACAGAAAAGUCAGCUUGGAACUAAAUCCAAACAUGUACAGUCAUCUAGUUUUUGAUGAGGGCACCAAGAUGACACAUGGGAAAAAGACCAUUUCUUAAAUAAACAGUGUUGGGAAAACUAGAUUUCCAGAUGAAAAAUGGGGAACUUAGAUCUUUAUCUUACACUGUACACAAAAAUUAAGUCAAGAUAGAUAGAAGAUCUAAAUGUAAGAGCUAGAAUAUAAGGGCAAAACUCUGAAUGAAUUAAAAAAGUGAUUUACUUAUGAAAAACAAAACUAAACCACAUAUUGGUUCCAAAGGUCUCAGUCUUUCAUGGUCAUCCUUUCUCAAUGUCAUGUAAGAACAUAUGUUGUAAGCACACUGUUUUCCCAGAGUUGCUGUGAGUGAUUAAUUCACAUGUCCGUGCAUUUGUUUGUUGUAUCAGAUAUGUUUUCUUGGUGCUGAGGAUGCAGUGGUGAGCAGGAUAUAUAAACGUUUUGCUCCUGAAGCAUAUUUGCAAGUGCAAAACAACACAAAUCAAGAAGUAAACCAAAGAACACGGUAACUUCGGAGCCAGAAUUUCCAUAAAGAAGAUCUACAAGAUGUGAAGCCUGGAGGCCAGGGUAGGGGUGAUGCCAGUUGGGAGUGGGGGUGGUGGUGGAGUGGAGCAGUCUUCCGCCUAGCCUGGUAUGACCAGCAGGAAGGAGCAGCAGGCGGCCAGGCAGAUCUCUGCAGGCUGGGCUGUGGGCCAUGGAAGCCCGGUGAGUGAGGGGAACGCAGCAGAGGAUUGCAGAGGGGCAGCUGCCAAGCCUUUAAGUCUUGCAGGCUGUGAUGAAGGGUUUGGACUUCACUGCAAGUGCACUAGGAGAGCUGUUUUAAACCGAGAAGAAGUACGCUUCCUGUGUUUUGAGAGUAUUCUGCUAGGGUGUGGAAAGUUUUAGGGGCGGAUUUAACCCUACCUGAUAGCACUUGCUAAGUCCUCCUGCCUUUACAGCAGUCUCUGGGGCCCAUCCUUCUAUGCACUUCAGAGAACAAAAAUUCUUUUACUGGUAAUUCAUAUAUAACUCACAUAUAACACAUAUCAAAGAUACAGUACUGAUAAUACGCUGGAAGAUUUGAAAGAGAGCCUAGUAAAAUAUUUCAAAGUGGUGAAUAUAAAAUGGAGUUAACAGGAGACAUUUUUGUGACAGCUUUGCUCCUGGCCUCUCAUGCCUAGAAAGCCUGUUUCCUGAGGUGGUCAGGUAUUGGGACGGGAACACCUCACCACAGCAUAACAGUCCUGCACACAGAGGAGACAGGCUUAUUCUCCAGGCUUUUCCCUUGAGUCUUUACCCCCAUCAUUUGAAAACAUUUUAAAUGUUUUUGGUCUUGUUAUGUAGACUAGACUGGCCUUGAGCUCACUAGGCUCUGGCUCAGUCCCUGAAGAUCCCAGACCUUUGCACCCACACCCACCUGAGUCCCUCGUUUCUGUGAGUGGACCUUUUCUCAGCUGGUCUUCUGUGGAGACUGAGCCAUUUUUGACUGUGUGCUCCCCCUUGUUUGCUGCUUUAUGAUUGAAUGAUAACAGAUCUUGACAAUUGUACCUCAGCAAAGUUUUUCUAGUGUUUCUUCCUUUCCAUGUCUUCUGCUAUUUAGAUUUAAUGAUGUAUCAUUUAGCACUCCUAACUCAUUUCACUGUUUGCCAUCUUUUCCCUAUUUUGUACUCUUGCUAAAAAAUGAAAUAUUCUAAAGUAUUAUUUGUGUCCUAUACCUCUUCCCCUGCUUAUUAUUAGCUAAUGGUUUUCUGUAAUAUAUCAAAUUAUACAGAAAUAUCUUAAUUUGGUUUAAGUGCCUGUUCUCUGGCUCCAGCCUUCUUUCCAGGAUUAUGAUGACUGUGCUUUUCUGUAAGUAUUCCUUGUCCUCCUACUCUUACUAACCUGACACUUCUUACACCUUUUCAAAAUCUGUCUCUCUCUCUCUCUCUCUCUCUCGUCUCUGUCUUUGUCUCUCUCUCUGUCUGUCUGUCUCUCUCUGUUUUGUACCAGGAAUCAAACUCAGGAUCUUGCACUUGCCACAAAGGUGCUGUGCUGCUGAGCUACAUCCCUGGUCCUUAAACUUUUCCAAAUUCUUAUGACUUCUCCCUCUUAAAAUAUCUGUAUUUACUCAACAUAUUGUCUUUCUGUAUUAUCUUUCUAUCUUGUCUUCUGUGCUUUAAUAUUAGAAAGCAAUGCCCUAAUCUCUAACUUCUAAAGCCAAUUCUUGGGGGCUGGACAUCUGUGACCCUAGUGAUUAUGAAAUUCAUAGAGAUGAUGUUUCUAUGUACAUCUUUUAAAAGCUAGAGUCAGACUUCACUUACCUUCAAUACUACCUUAUCCUUAUGUAGAAUUGUAUUAUUGGCCUUUACCAUCAAGAAAUAAAUUUUUUCUUUUGUUCCC